CUCUUCUCCUUGCAGGACCCUCGGCACUGAAGAGCAGGGUCUUGGGACCUGCCUGCCCACUGCGCUCCCUGUAGUGAACCCUCCUCCACCUGGGCCACGCUCACACUUGCCUCUGCUGGUGCAGACAUCUCCUUUCCCGUGGCACAUGCAUGCGCGCUCGCUGCCUCCCGUCUCACUCCUAUGUCUUCAUUGCCAAUGCACUUAUAUGUUUCUCCUGGGACAGUGAGCAGAUUCUCAUCUUGCAACCUGUAUCGCCAGCCCAGCCCAGCCCAGGCAGGGCCUGGCUCAGGAUACUUUCCUAUUGGACUUCAGUGAGCAAGCAGAUGAGCUAGAAGGAUUAGGAGGGGGUCGAUGGAAGCUUUGCCAUAUUUGUAGUCCAGGGACUGGUAACAGAACAGUGGUCUGGAAAGGCAUCAGAGCCGGGCGGUUAAAAUGGCAGCUCUGCAGCCUUCUGUGAUCCUGGGCACAGCAAGCAAUCUUUCCUCUGCUGGGAGAAUGGGCCUGACGACUCACAGAGCUCACAGAGGAGACAGUGCAGUGCGAGUGAAUGGUCCUGGUUCGAGAGAAUGGAGAAGUAUAGAAGAGAAGAAGAAAGGAAU